rnacentral:rRNA from 1 species
GAUGAACGCUGGCGGCGUGCCUAAUACAUGCAAGUCGAGCGAACAGACGAGGAGCUUGCUCCUCUGACGUUAGCGGCGGACGGGUGAGUAACACGUGGAUAACCUACCUAUAAGACUGGGAUAACUUCGGGAAACCGGAGCUAAUACCGGAUAAUAUAUUGAACCGCAUGGUUCAAUAGAGAAAGACGGUUUUGCUGUCACUUAUAGAUGGAUCCGCGCCGCAUUAGCUAGUUGGUAAGGUAACGGCUUACCAAGGCAGCGAUGCGUAGCCGACCUGAGAGGGUGAUCGGCCACACUGGAACUGAGACACGGUCCAGACUCCUACGGGAGGCAGCAGUAGGGAAUCUUCCGCAAUGGGCGAAAGCCUGACGGAGCAACGCCGCGUGAGUGAUGAAGGUCUUCGGAUCGUAAAACUCUGUUAUUAGGGAAGAACAAAUGUGUAAGUAACUAUGCACGUCUUGACGGUACCUAAUCAGAAAGCCACGGCUAACUACGUG